CAGCAGCCACGGGAAUACGUAGGGUGCAAGCGUUAAUCGGAAUUACUGGGCGUAAAGCGUGCGCAGGCGGUUAUAUAAGACAGAUGUGAAAUCCCCGGGCUCAACCUGGGAACUGCAUUUGUGACUGUAUAGCUAGAGUACGGCAGAGGGGGAUGGAAUUCCGCGUGUAGCAGUGAAAUGCGUAGAUAUGCGGAGGAACACCGAUGGCGAAGGCAAUCCCCUGGGCCUGUACUGACGCUCAUGCACGAAAGCGUGGGGAGCAAACAGGAUUAGAUACCCCGUAGUCCCUGUCUCUUAUACA
rnacentral:rRNA from 1 species